rnacentral:tRNA from 1 species
GCCCCAGGUGGGAGACGGCGCCCUCGCCGACCAGGGCGGCGAAGGCCUCCAGGGUCUCCGGGAGCGGGGUUCUGGGGUCCUCGUUGUGGGC